rnacentral:misc_RNA from 1 species
ACUGUUUUAUGCUGAGGACCUAAAUAAGUCCCUUCAUCUAUGUAAUAACGUAAAGAGUCACUACACUCGGGACAUUCAAAAAUCUCAUUCGGUUCAAUAGCUUCUUCUUCAACCCAUUCCCAGCCAAUAUGUUCUUCACAACUUGGACAGUCCAUUUUUUUAUUCCUCUUAACUAUUUUCGGCGAGUGUAAUUAACCUCAACUCGGGAUAAGAAAGUCGAGAAUAUAUUUUUCAUACACUUAAAUUAAACCAAUAAGUCAGU